UACGUAGGGGCGAGCGUUGUCCGGAUUUACUGGGCGUAAAGGGAGCGUAGGCGGACUUUUAAGUGAGAUGUGAAAUACCCGGGCUUAACUUGGGUGCUGCAUUUCAAACUGGAAGUCUAGAGUGCAGGAGAGGAGAAUGGAAUUCCUAGUGUAGCGGUGAAAUGCGUAGAGAUUAGGAAGAACACCAGUGGCGAAGGCGAUUCUCUGGACUGUAACUGACGCUGAGGCUCGAAAGCGUGGGGAGCAAACAGGAUUAGAUACCCUGGUAGU
rnacentral:rRNA from 1 species